CUUUGAGUGAAUAGGGGCAACUAACCCUAACAUGAGACGAAACCCUAAAGCACCUACCUGACGUUGAGAAACACCCAUCAUGCGUUUCUAUGCAUCCUGCGACCCAAGAUAUAAAAGAAUAACUAUUUGCCAGGAGUCUCUGAAUCGUAUAAUGACUGUCUCCGAAAAUGAAGUAAGUAUCUAUUUUAGGCGUACGCUCCGACGAUACGGUUACUCAGUUCUCUCCAUGGGCUUCUUCACAAAAAGAAGAGAGCGUACGGCAAAUCUGCCUGAAAGGCCUUGUCUGUUAUUCAAGGUGCAACAAUAAGUCUGCCUAGCCUCUAGGUUCAACCAGUCAAGCUCAGGGUUGAGGAGUAGAAGUAUGACGGGAUGGGCUCGCAUGCGUUUAUCCGUCCUGUGCGACAAUCAAAAAGGCUUUGGAAGACAAGAAAUUGAUGAAAUGACCAUCAAUUAGACUGUAUAGUUGACUUUUAAAUGGCGAGGCUGAUAUUUGUGGAUUAUAAGAGAGAUUCGAUGUUCAUGGUGCCGUCCGAGUACUUUCGUAAAACAAUUGUUCAUGUCUC
rnacentral:lncRNA from 1 species